rnacentral:rRNA from 2 species
AGCGCAUACGGUGGAUGCCUUGGCAGUCAGAGGCGAUGAAAGACGUGGUAGCCUGCGAUAAGCUUUGGGGAGUCGGCAAACAGACUGUGAUCCAGAGAUCUCUGAAUGGGGGAACCCAGCCAGCAUAAGCUGGUUAUCUUGUACUGAAUACAUAGGUGCAAGAGGCGAACCAGGGGAACUGAAACAUCUAAGUACCCUGAGGAAAAGAAAUCAACCGAGAUUCCCUUAGUAGUGGCGAGCGAACGGGGACCAGCCCUUAAGUUGAUUUGAGAUUAGUGGAACGCUCUGGAAAGUGCGGCCAUAGUGGGUGAUAGCCCCGUACACGAAAAUCUCUUGUCAAUGAAAUCGAGUAGGACGGAGCACGAGAAACUUUGUCUGAAUAUGGGGGGACCAUCCUCCAAGGCUAAAUACUACUGACUGACCGAUAGUGAACCAGUACCGUGAGGGAAAGGCGAAAAGAACCCCGGAGAGGGGAGUGAAAUAGAACCUGAAACCGUAUGCGUACAAGCAGUGGGAGCCUACUUUGUUAGGUGACUGCGUACCUUUUGUAUAAUGGGUCAGCGACUUAUAUUCAGUGGCGAGCUUAACCGAAUAGGGGAGGCGUAGCGAAAGCGAGUCUUAAUAGGGCGUUUAGUCGCUGGGUAUAGACCCGAAACCGGGCGAUCUAUCCAUGGGCAGGUUGAAGGUUAGGUAACACUGACUGGAGGACCGAACCGACUACCGUUGAAAAGUUAGCGGAUGACCUGUGGAUCGGAGUGAAAGGCUAAUCAAGCUCGGAGAUAGCUGGUUCUCCUCGAAAGCUAUUUAGGUAGCGCCUCAUGUAUCACUGUAGGGGGUAGAGCACUGUUUCGGCUAGGGGGUCAUCCCGACUUACCAAACCGAUGCAAACUCCGAAUACCUACAAGUGCCGAGCAUGGGAGACACACGGCGGGUGCUAACGUCCGUCGUGAAAAGGGAAACAACCCAGACCGUCAGCUAAGGUCCCAAAGUCAUGGUUAAGUGGGAAACGAUGUGGGAAGGCUUAGACAGCUAGGAGGUUGGCUUAGAAGCAGCCACCCUUUAAAGAAAGCGUAAUAGCUCACUAGUCGAGUCGGCCUGCGCGGAAGAUGUAACGGGGCUCAAACCAUGCACCGAAGCUACGGGUAUCAUCUUAUGAUGAUGCGGUAGAGGAGCGUUCUGUAAGCCUGUGAAGGUGAGUUGAGAAGCUUGCUGGAGGUAUCAGAAGUGCGAAUGCUGACAUGAGUAACGACAAUGCGAGUGAAAAACUCGCACGCCGAAAGACCAAGGUUUCCUGCGCAACGUUAAUCGACGCAGGGUUAGUCGGUCCCUAAGGCGAGGCUGAAAAGCGUAGUCGAUGGAAAACAGGUUAAUAUUCCUGUACUUCCAGUUAUUGCGAUGGAGGGACGGAGAAGGUUAGGCCAGCCUGGCGUUGGUUGUCCAGGUUUAAGGUGGUAGGCUGAAAUCUUAGGCAAAUCCGGGAUUUCAAGGCCGAGAGCUGAUGACGAGUUGCCUUCAGGCGACGAAGUGGUUGAUACCAUGCUUCCAAGAAAAGCUCCUAAGCUUCAGAUAACUGGGAACCGUACCCCAAACCGACACAGGUGGUUAGGUAGAGAAUACCAAGGCGCUUGAGAGAACUCGGGUGAAGGAACUAGGCAAAAUGGCACCGUAACUUCGGGAGAAGGUGCGCCGGCGAGGGUGAAGGACUUGCUCCGUAAGCCCAUGCCGGUCGAAGAUACCAGGCCGCUGCGACUGUUUAUUAAAAACACAGCACUCUGCAAACACGAAAGUGGACGUAUAGGGUGUGACGCCUGCCCGGUGCCGGAAGGUUAAUUGAUGGGGUUAGCGCAAGCGAAGCUCUUGAUCGAAGCCCCGGUAAACGGCGGCCGUAACUAUAACGGUCCUAAGGUAGCGAAAUUCCUUGUCGGGUAAGUUCCGACCUGCACGAAUGGCGUAACGAUGGCGGCGCUGUCUCCACCCGAGACUCAGUGAAAUUGAAAUCGCUGUGAAGAUGCAGUGUAUCCGCGGCUAGACGGAAAGACCCCGUGAACCUUUACUAUAGCUUUGCACUGGACUUUGAAUUUGCUUGUGUAG